AUCUUUUUAGUAUACAUGUACAUUUGGCUUCCAACCAAAAAGAUUAGAAUAACCUAAAAAAGAUA
rnacentral:tRNA from 1 species